rnacentral:miRNA from 1 species
AAAUUAAUAUAAAUUUUGUUAUUUGUAUCCAGGUGAUGACACGCCCCUCACAAGAAAGGGGCCCUUGUUGAAUAGAAAAAAUGCACCAGCCUCCCUGCUUUGAGGGGCAUGUCAACGUUUGGAUACAUAUAGCAUGAUCCAAAAGUAAUAU